CUCAGAAAUUAUGCUGCCAGCCUAAAUAGGUCUUGGAACAAAAGUGAGAUGUUACAAUUUAGAAAAUGAAAUAAAGACAAAACAUAUUGAAGCUGUUUUCAAGCUUGAAUGAAAAAAAAAUAUCACAUAUUUCCCCUGUGGCCUGCAGUGCUACUCAUGCUACUCAUCUCUCUGGCUGUGAGUUUCUCACUUUGCCUGGCUUCUCUUCAAUAAAAUGGAAUCUAAUAGCUUUCCCCUAAAAUACAUUUAAAUACCUCAGCAGCAACGUCUCUUCUCUGAAAUCAUGACUCAAGUUUUAUUUUUAAUCUACCGUGAUCUGCCAUGUGAGGACUGCAGUUAAGCAAGGUUAAAGCCUCUUUACUUCUUAUUUGCCAUCAUGCUUUUACAAGCAUCAUGAUUAGAUAGAUGAUGUUCACGUCUGCAGAUUUUUAUUCAUUUAUUUUUUAAGUAACUGGGUCAUGACCUCUGAAAAGAGUCAGAUGUAUUCCCAUCAAAUAUAUUUUUCGGCACUUUGAAUGUCAAGUAAGAUUUAGGCAAAGCCAUUAACGACCCUUUUAAAAGGUCACGAGCCAAAAAGUUUGGGAAACACAGCUUUACUGAAACUGAUGCAUGAAGGCAGCUGCUCCUGUCUGGUCUGGGCCGAUACAGAAAUGCUCAGCAACACGUUGAAGUAAACAAAGUCCUUUAAUGCAGACACUUACAGCAGCCACAGGCAGGUCACACUCCAGCAUUUUUUACACCUCUUCUUCACAAACCAAAAAUAUCUCUGCAACCUAGCAGCUGCAGUGACACAAACCAGGAGCUCGUGUCCGAUGUUCUUUGUUUUUCAUUAGCACGUCAGGAUGCUGCAGAGCACUGAUUUUAGACUAUAUGUGGCUGGCCAGUGACCAAGUAUAUUUUAUCUUUUAAAUGAUUUUGUCUUUAGUUUAGUUUUUUAAAGAAUGAAUGAAUUUAACUUUGGUUAAAUUCAUUCAGAUGUUUAAAAGUGUAAAACAUCUAUUAAAUGUAUUAUUCUAUGCAGAUUGUUAAAUCAAGUUGUAAUAUGAAUGUAAUGACUUAACUGAAUGAAUAUAUAUAAAAAACGCCUUAAAGUGUAAAUUCCUAAAUCUUUUUCUUUCACAUAAAAGACAUAUUAAAGAGGUUUUAUUUAUCAUAUUUGAAUCAGUUAUAAUUACUAUAUGAUGGGAGACAGUGUUACACCUGCCUGUUCAGAAUGGGUCACAGCUUUCUCAAAAAAACCUCUCAUCUGAGCAACGUAAGUGUCUCAGGAAACCACACAGCGAAUAGAGUG
ensembl:lncRNA